rnacentral:lncRNA from 1 species
CUCCAGGAGCUGGGGCUGCAUGGAGGAAAGACACACUCCCUCUAUCACACCUCUCCUGCUAAAACAAAUCGCAAGACCUGGCAACAGCGAAAACGGCAGGAUUGGAGGUGCCAAUGUUAUUCCCACCAGCAGCCGCCUUUGUGGACAGAAAAUCACUGGGCCGUUUCAAAACAACUAGAGCUCUAUUUUUGUUACAUUGUUGCUGUUGAAUUUGGAAAAGUGGACAUGAAUACAUCUUAUAAAGGUAUGUAUCAUCAAAAAAACAAACACUCAUCAAUUCUAAUUCUAGUGCUGUCAUUCAUUUGUUAUCUGUCUUUAGGAAGUCACUUAAGUCAAAAUCUUUAAAAAUAUUGAGCACUCAUGGUGCCUAUAUAUAAAGUGAAACUCUAGCCUCUAUGUUUCUAAAACUAGGCACACAAAUUAAUGAAUGCUUUUGAGAAUUAUGGCCUUAACUUUUUUGUUCCUCAGUUUUUCAAUCUAUAAAAUGUACCUACCCUAUGAGGCUAUUGUCAGGAUUAGUU